ensembl:lncRNA
GUUAUUAGUUAAUGAUACUGUGAUUGAAAAUACCACAGUGAUGUUAUUGGUAAAUACCACAGUGAGGUUAUUGGUAAAUACUACAGUGAGGUUAUUGGUAAAUACCACAGUGAGGUUAUAGGUAAUUACCACAGUGAUGUUAUUGGUAAAUACUACAGUGAUGUUAUUGGUAAAUACUACAGUGAUGUUAUUGGUAAAUACUACAGUGAGGUUAUUGGUAAAUACCACAGUGAUGUUAUUGGUAAAUACCACAGUGAGGUUAUUGGUAAAUACCACAGUGAUGUUAUUGGUAAAUACCACAGUGAUGUUAUUGGUAAAUACCUGUUAUUGGUAAAUACUACAGUGAUGUUAUUGGUAAAUACCACAGUGAGGUUAUUGGUAAAUACCACAGUGAUGUUAUUGGUAAAUACCUGUUAUUGGUAAAUACUACAG